GUGAAUCAUCGAAUCUUUGAACGCACAUUGCGCCCCCUGGUAUUCCGGGGGGCAUGCCUGUCCGAGCGUCAUUGC
rnacentral:rRNA from 1 species